rnacentral:rRNA from 1 species
UACGUAGGGUGCAAGCGUUAAUCGGAAUUACUGGGCGUAAAGCGUGCGCAGGCGGUUCUAUAAGACAGAUGUGAAAUCCCCGGGCUCAACCUGGGAAUGGCCGUUGAAACUGGCGAACUGGAGUGUGGCAGAGGGGGGUGGAAUUCCGCGUGUAGCAGUGAAAUGCGUAGAGAUGCGGAGGAACACCGAUGGCGAAGGCAGCCCCCUGGGCUGACACUGACGCUCAGGCACGAAAGCGUGGGGAGCAAACAGG